GUAUGACGUCUUCAGUUUACCAAAUGGAUCAAUCACCGGUAUUCUUGUGUACACAAAAUCUGCAUACAUGACUACAUUAUAUCGACUAGGUGCUAGCUUCAUGUUUUAUGUACUAACAAAUCUUAUCAUGUAGAUAUCGCGGGAGUUAUCAUGUAUGUUGGCCCAAUUGACCACGACACAUAUUUCCCUCUAGGCAUGAGGGAAUUAGCAGUGGUGGACUACAAUGAUCGUACUGUGUUCCUCCGGUUUUUAGAUGAACUAGCUGACAGCCAUAGAGAACAACUAUUUUUUGGGGAAAUGCAUUAUUCAUUCCUAAUGACAACCUUUAUGGAGGUUGACCAAGCGUCGAGUAAGUCUGAACUAUAAUAAGUGCUAUAUACCAAAUCCAUUCCUCACUUGUACUUACUCGAUGUUUUCAUAAAUAGGAAGCCUUUUAAGUACAUCAGCAACAACAAUCACAUUUCAUCGGUGCUUAGCAUGUCAUCAGUUUGACAUGCUUGAAGGUGUGCGCAAACGAAUUCAUAAUGAUUCAGCUUACGGUGAAGCGGUAAAAAAUGUUGUACUUCUUAGGAGGGAUGCUCAAAAUCCAGCCAACGAGUACAACACAGUUCAUCUACCUGCUGAAGCUUCUUCGAUCAAAUACAUGUACAACUAUCUGAAGCGUAGUACACCCGGCACAUCGCCAGAUAAAGUUGACAAGUACAAUGAAGUUGAUUAGGCAUGUAUGUCCAGAAUCAAUAAUUCUUUAGAAAGGGAUGGUGUUUUAAGCGAGUUAUUUCUAUCCUUUGUUGUAAUAAUAAAUAUAACAUGUUGUUAUAUUCACAAGAUGCUCCAUUCCGUAUCUACUAUUUUUACAUCUUGCAAACCAUCCACAACAUCUCCACUAAAUAAAUGGAUGCAAAAACUUUGUACCUGUAGUGCUUCUCUUGUACAUGAAUGCGCGUGUAUGUAUGUGGAGAAGGGCAAUAAGCCUUUAGAAUGCUUGAUUAUUCCAACACGAAAA